rnacentral:lncRNA from 1 species
UUAGCUUAUAUAGAAGUAUUUAUGUAAAAAGAAUUGUUUAUACUUCCAUUUUCAGCUCCAACAUGUAAAUAGCUUGGAAUUCAUAACUUCCAUUCUUGCAAAAAAAGCUGUACAAAUGAAAAAUUUUCCCCUGCUGUCUUUCAAAGAUAUCUUCAUAAUAAAUCAAAUGUCUGCACAAGAGAAUUUACAUCUUUAAAAUAUAUUCUAUAAGUUCUAUCAAUAUACUUUUGUAGUUGUUUGUGCAUUGCUUAAUAUCCAAAUGUUUGAAUAUACACAAAUUGUCUUUGUAUUAUUUAUUCUUAGCUUGAUUUUGCUGUGUU